AUUGAACGCUGGCGGAAUGCUUUACACAUGCAAGUCGAACGGCAGCACGGGGGCAACCCUGGUGGCGAGUGGCGAACGGGUGAGUAAUACAUCGGAACGUGCCCGGUCGUGGGGGAUAACGUAGCGAAAGGUACGCUAAUACCGCAUACGAUCUGAGGUUGAAAGCGGGGGACCUUCGGGCCUCGCGCGAUUGGAGGGGCCGAUGUCAGAUUAGGUAGUUGGUGGGGUAAAGGCCUACCAAGCCGACGAUCUGUAGCUGGUCUGAGAGGACGACCAGCCACACUGGGACUGAGACACGGCCCAGACUCCUACGGGAGGCAGCAGUGGGGAAUUUUGGACAAUGGGCGCAAGCCUGAUCCAGCCAUUCCGCGUGAAGGACGAAGGCCUUCGGGUUGUAAACUGCUUUUGUAUGGAAAGAAAAGGCUCUGGCUAAUACCUGGGGCUCAUGACGGUACCGUAAGAAUAAGCACCGGCUAACUACGUG
rnacentral:rRNA from 1 species